UAAUGGCCCCCAAACCAAUUAGUCU
rnacentral:misc_RNA from 1 species